rnacentral:snRNA from 1 species
AUCGCUUCUCGCCUCUCUGAGCUAAGAUCAUGUGUAGUAUCUGUUCUUUGCAGUGUAAUUUCUGCAACGGUCUCUAAACUGAGACCAAUGAAAUUACCUGUAUUUUUCACCUCCGGACGGGUGCUGUGAGCUUGCUCAACCCCGUCCAUGGGUCGGCAUCGUAUUGCAUAAAUGUUGUUGAUUUAUUAUUU